AGCCCUGAGGAAUUCCGGGAGUGGAGCCGACUUGGAAACUCAAGGCCAAUCUCAGGUUGAGACAUGGCCCUGACAUUCUCCAGCUUUCAUGGUGUUCCUGCAAUCCAAGUGCCGCUUAUCUCUCUACAGGUCCACCAGAUGACCGGCUGGCCUCCUAAUUGGGCUUCCUGCAUUCCUGCCUGUGCUCGGAGCUCCCUUCUCCACUUGCCUGCUGGAGGAGGUUUACAAACAAAAUCAGAUCAUGGCACUCCCCUGGGGCCCUGCAUCCUGUGGCCAGCAGGUCUUGGAAACGCCCCUGUACCCCAGAAACUUCCUGAUCAGUCCCUGGUCAGUGUAUAUCAUGCUUCCUGUGACAUGACAUCAACUUUUCAGUGACUUCCACUGGUUUUGGCCCAGCUCGAAGAGCCUGACACCUCUGCAGGGAAUUCUACCAGGGAGCUCAGGAGGGGGAAUUGCACUGAAGAUUUGUCCCAUCGUGAAGCAAGAGCACUGGAACUUACACUCCACCAUCACCUUCAGAAGAUAAUUAUUCGGAAAAGAA
rnacentral:lncRNA from 1 species